rnacentral:rRNA from 1 species
UACGGAGGGGGCUAGCGUUGUUCGGAAUUACUGGGCGUAAAGCGCACGUAGGCGGCUAUUCAAGUCAGAGGUGAAAGCCUGAAGCUCAACUCCAGAACGGCCUUUGAAACUAGAUAGCUUGAAUCCAGGAGAGGUGAGUGGAAUUCCGAGUGUAGAGGUGAAAUUCGUAGAUAUUCGGAAGAACACCAGUGGCGAAGGCGGCUCACUGGACUGGUAUUGACGCUGAGGUGCGAAAGCGUGGGGAGCAAACAGG